CUGGGAUUGCCCUAGUAACGGCGAGUGAAGCGGCAAUAGCUCAAAUUUGAAAUCUGGCUUCCUUUGGGGGUCCGAGUUGUAAUUUGCAGAGGGUGCUUUGGCGUUGGUAGCGGUCUAAGUUCCUUGGAACAGGACAUCGCAGAGGGUGAGAAUCCCGUUUGUGGUCGCAUGCCUUCGCCGUGUAAAGCCCCUUCGACGAGUCGAGUUGUUUGGGAAUGCAGCUCUAAAUGGGAGGUAAAUUUCUUCUAAAGCUAAAUACUGGCCAGAGACCGAUAGCGCACAAGUAGAGUGAUCGAAAGAUGAAAAGCACUUUGGAAAGAGAGUCAAACAGCACGUGAAAUUGUUGAAAGGGAAGCGCUUGCAGCCAGACUUGCCCGUAGUUGCUCACCCAGGCUUUUGCCCGGGGCAUUCUUCUGCGGGCAGGCCAGCAUCAGUUUGGGCGGUCGGAUAAAGGCCUCUGUCACGUAUCUUCCUUCGGGAUGACCUUAUAGGGGAGGCGACAUGCGACCAGCCCGGACUGAGGUCCGCGCUUCUGCUAGGAUGCUGGCGUAAUGGCUGUAAGCGGCCCGUCUUGAAACACGGACCAAGGAGUCUAACAUCUAUGCGAGUGUUUGGGUGUCAAGCCCGAGCGCGUAAUGAAAGUGAACGGAGGUGGGAACCCUUGGGUGCACCAUCGACCGAUCCUGAUGUCUUCGGAUGGAUUUGAGUAAGAGCAUAGCUGUUGGGACCCGAAAGAUGGUGAACUAUGCUUGAAUAGGGUGAAGCCAGAGGAAACUCUGGUGGAGGCUCGCAGCGGUUCUGACGUGCAAAUCGAUCGUCAAAUUUGGGCAUAGGGGCGAAAGACUAAUCGAACUAUCUAGUA
rnacentral:rRNA from 1 species